rnacentral:rRNA from 1 species
CCCUCAGUAGCUGCGAGCGAAAAGGGAUGAGCCCAGCGCCGAAUCCCCGGCCUCCGGUCGCGGGAAAUGUGGCGUUUAGGAGUGAGCGUGCCGGGUGCGGAACUGGCGGCAAGUCCCCCUGACCGGGGCCUGUCCGUAGCGGGUGCGAGGCCCAUAGCCGCCGGAACCGUCUCGCGUGCGAUCUCCUGGGAGUCGGGUUGCUUGGGAGUGCAGCCCUAAUCGGGUGGUAAACUCCACCUAAGGCUAAAUACCGCCGUGAGACCGAUAGCAAACAAGUACCGUGAGGGAAAGUUGCAAAGAACUUUGAAGAGAGAGUUCAAGAGUACGUGAAACUGCUCAGAGGUAAACGGGUGGGCCCUCGAAAUCCUGUGGCGAGAGGAUUCAGUCUGCGCGGGAAGGCGCCGGGGAGGAAGAUUCCGAGCAGGGCUUCCGCGCACGCGGGCCGUCCUCUCUGGCGUCUCUUUUCCGCGCAGACGCAUUUGUCUCUCGUCCGAUGGACGCUGCAGCCGGUCCGGAAGCUGCAAGCGCGACGGCCUGAAGGCCGGGAGCCGGCAGGUGGCCGGUGGCUCGCCUCGUUGCGGGUCGCCGGUUGUUAGCCAUCCCGGCAGUGGCGCGUCUCCGGACCGUGGUCAAGCGAGCCCCCCCGCGGGGGCUCCUCGUCUCCGCCCUUUUCAGUGGCGCGGGCCAGGGCGCGGACCGGGUCCCGGGCAGUGCUUUUCGACCGCCGCACUCCGCCGGAGUGGGCGGGAGAGCCCUGGGACCUGCCAUGCCGCGACGGACCCGCGUAGGGGAUCGGAGGCUCGCAGCGAGUAGGUCGGUCACCCACCCGACCCGUCUUGAAACACGGACCAAGGAGUCUAACAUGUGCGCGAGUCAGUGGGUCUUGAACAGGCCCACGGGCGCAAUGAAAGCGAAGGGCUCGGCCCAGCGUCGGCCCGUGCGGGGAUCCCUGCCUCUCGGGGCGGGGCGCACCCGCGACCCGUCCUAUCCGGCUCGCCGGUUGGGCGGAGUCUGAGCGUACACGUUGGGACCCGAAAGAUGGUGAACUAUGCCCGGGCAGGACGAGGCCAGAGGAAACUCUGGUGGAGGUCCGCAGCGG